AUUGAACGCUGGCGGCAUGCUUUACACAUGCAAGUCGAACGGUAACAGGCCGCAAGGUGCUGACGAGUGGCGAACGGGUGAGUAAUGCAUCGGAACGUGCCCAGUCGUGGGGGAUAACUACUCGACAGAGUAGCUAAUACCGCAUACGAUCUAUGGAUGAAAGCGGGGGACCGUAAGGCCUCGCGCGAUUGGAGCGGCCGAUGUCAGAUUAGGUAGUUGGUGGGGUAAAGGCUCACCAAGCCAACGAUCUGUAGCUGGUCUGAGAGGACGACCAGCCACACUGGGACUGAGACACGGCCCAGACUCCUACGGGAGGCAGCAGUGGGGAAUUUUGGACAAUGGGCGCAAGCCUGAUCCAGCAAGGCCGCGUGCAGGAAGAAGGCCUUCGGGUUGUAAACUGCUUUUGUACGGAACGAAACGGCUCUGGUUAAUACCCGGGGCUAAUGACGGUACCGUAAGAAUAAGCACCGGCUAACUACGUG
rnacentral:rRNA from 1 species